rnacentral:miRNA from 10 species
UAGCUGCUAUUAGGUUGGUUCAAAAGUAAUUGUGGUUUUUGCCAUUGAAAGUAAUGGCAAAAAUUGCUAUUACACUAAGAGAGGAGACCACCCCUCGUAUUGUCUUAUGCCCAAUUUCUGCCU